AAAAAAAAAAACAUAAGAGGUAAACAAAAAAAGGAAGAAAAAAAAUAUGAAGGCCAGUUUCCUCAAUUCAAGUUUGAUCCUUUUGUUAUCACUACAUUUUGCAUUAUCU
rnacentral:ribozyme from 1 species